UGAGUAACCUGCCCUUAACUCUGGGAUAAGCCUGGGAAACUGGGUCUAAUACCGGAUAUGACUCCUCAUCGCAUGGUGGGGGGUGAAAGCUUUAUUGUGGUUUUGGAUGGACUCGCGGCCUAUCAGCUUGUUGGUGAGGUAAUAGCUCACCAAGGCGAUGACGGGUAGCCGGCCUGAGAGGGUGACCGGCCACACUGGGACUGAGACACGGCCCAGACUCCUACGGGAGCAG
rnacentral:rRNA from 1 species